rfam:Phytophthora infestans T30-4 supercont1.54 genomic scaffold, whole genome shotgun sequence.
GCCCUUUUAGCUCAAUGGCUAAGCGUUGGCUUUGAUAGCCAAAGAUCGGUGGUUCGAAUUCACCAGAGCACA